rnacentral:rRNA from 1 species
UACGUAGGGGGCGAGCGUUGUCCGGAGUUACUGGGCGUAAAGGGCAUGCAGGCGGUCGGACGCGUUUCGGGUGACAGCGGAGGGCUUAACUCUCCGAGGAUGCGAAAGACGGCGGCACUUGAGGGCCAGAGAGGGACACGGAAUUCCGGGUGGAGUGGUGAAAUGCGUAGAGAUCCGGAGGAACACCGAAGGCGAAGGCAGUGUCCUGGCUGGUGACUGACGCUGAGGUGCGAAAGCUAGGGGAGCGAACGGG